AUGGCGGCGACGGGGCGUUUCUCCGGCAUUUCUCCUUCGUUUGGUCUCCCGAUGCUCAGAUCUGAGCGGGUUCUGUGCCGGGCGGUUCAAGUUCCAGCCGCGGGGUUGCUGGGGCGGGCGUCGUCCCCCACGCCGUCGUCUUCCUUGUCCCCGGCGUCGUCGGGGGGCUGUGCUCGGCGGGUCAACAUCUGGUCCUGCAGGUGCAUCCAGGUGAUGGAUUGGCGGCAUCUGCUGGUGGUGGCGGGGCUGCGCCGUUUCGGCGGUGGACACACGACGUGGUGGGUCUGGAGCUGGCUGGCGGGAGUGCUCCUCCUGGUGUUGGGUUUGUGGCGUGUGGGCCGGAUCUGCCCUCAACAGCUGGCGCUGGCGGCCGGUGGCGGUUGCGUCGAUGGUAGUUUGGGGCUCUCGUGCAGCGGUGAGGAGCGGAGGAUCUGGCUCCUCAAUGGUGGUGUGUGGCGUAGGCAUGUGGGCAGCAGUGGCCCCGCCGGCAUUUGCGGUGGUGCGCGUGUCAGUGGAUCUGGCGCGUCGCAACGACUACUGCCAGGGUUGGCCGAUGGGAGGUGCGGUGGUGCGGCGCGUGGUGCUGCCGCUGAUCGGCCGGGACCGUGGGGCCAGCCGGAGGUGGUGGCGGUCCGCGCUGCGUUGCGACUGUUGUGGCAACCGGCACGUCGUUGGCCCUCUGGAUGGGUCUAUGUGGGUUGGUUGGGCGGCAUCGGUUGUGGCGGUGUGCUUUGUCCUGGGGUCCUGGCCGGACGUUGUGCUAGCUAGGGGGUUUUCUUAGGCGAAAGCCUUAGCGAUGACGACGCCCCUAGGCGCCGCUUCUCCUGUUGAGGGUGUUGUGUUCCCGAGCUUUGUCUUUCGUGGGCGAAAGCCCGGUCCACCUCGGACCGGCAACGAUGGCGUCCCCGACGUCACUCCCUUCCUGAAGGCGUUGCUACUGAAGUUCGUCUGGGCCACGUCGUCGCUUUCGGUGGUUGCUUUCGUCUUUCGGGUCCCGGUUUGCGUGUGGAUGUGGAGGCUUGCAUCGUGA